rnacentral:rRNA from 1 species
AACGAACGCUGGCGGCAUGCCUAACACAUGCAAGUCGAACGAGACCUUCGGGUCUAGUGGCGCACGGGUGCGUAACGCGUGGGAACCUGCCCUUAGGUUCGGAAUAACUCCCCGAAAGGGGUGCUAAUACCGGUUAAUGUCUUCGGACCAAAGAUUUAUCGCCUUUGGAUGGGCCCGCGUUGGAUUAGCUAGUUGGUAGGGUAAAAGCCUACCAAGGCGACGAUCCAUAGCUGGUCUGAGAGGAUGAUCAGCCACACUGGGACUGAGACACGGCCCAGACUCCGACGGGAGGCAGCAGUGGGGAAUAUUGGACGAUGGGCGAAAGCCUGAUCCAGCAAUGCCGCGUGAGUGAGGAAGGCCUUAGGGUUGUAAAGCUCUUUUACCCGGGAUGAUAAUGACAGUACCGGGAGAAUAAGCUCCGGCUAACUCCGUG